AUACGGAGGAUCCGAGCGUUAUCCGGAUUUAUUGGGUUUAAAGGGUGCGCAGGCGGCCAUUUAAGUCAGCGGUUAAAUCGUGGGGCUCAACCCCAUUCUGCCGUUGAUACUGGGUGGCUUGAUUGCGGUCGAGGUUGGCGGAAUUCGUUGUGUAGCGGUGAAAUGCAUAGAUAUGACGAAGAACACCGAUUGCGUAGGCAGCUGACCAGACCGCAAAUGACGCUCAUGCACGAAAGUGCGGGGAACGAACAGGAUUAGAUACCCUGGUAGUCCGCACAGUAAACGAUGAAUACUUGUUUUCGGCGAUAUAAUGUCGGAGGCAAAGCGAAAGCGAUAAGUAUUCCACCUGGGGAGUACGCCGGCAACGGUGAAACUCAAAUGAAUUGACGGGG
rnacentral:rRNA from 1 species